UACGUAGGGUGCAAGCGUUAAUCGGAAUUACUGGGCGUAAAGCGUGCGCAGGCGGUUGUGCAAGACCGAUGUGAAAUCCCCGGGCUUAAUCUGGGAAUGGCAUUGGUGACUGCACGGCUAGAGUGUGUCAGAGGGGGGUAGAAUUCCACGUGUAGCAGUGAAAUGCGUAGAGAUGUGGAGGAAUACCGAUGGCGAAGGCAGCCCCCUGGGCCAAUACUGACGCUCAUGCACGAAAGCGUGGGGAGCAAACAGG
rnacentral:rRNA from 1 species